rnacentral:rRNA from 1 species
CCUACGGGAGGCAGCAGUGGGGGAUAUUGCACAAUGGGGGAAACCCUGAUGCAGCGACGCCGCGUGGGGGAAGACGGUCCUCUGGAUUGUAAACCACUGUCACCAGGGACGAAGAUGACGGUACCGGGGGAGGAAGCUCCGGCUAACUACGUGCCAGCAGCCGCGGGAAUACGUAGGGAGCGAGCGUUGUCCGGAAUUACGGGGUGUAAAGGGAGCGUAGGCGGGGAGGCAAGUUGGGUGUCACAACUACCGGCUCAACUGGUAGUCGCACUCAAAACUGCAGCUCUUGAGGGAAGUAGAGGCAGGCGGCAUUCCUAGUGUAGCGGUGACAUUCGUAGAUAUUAGGAG